rnacentral:rRNA from 1 species
GACGAACGCUGGCGGCGUGCUUAACACAUGCAAGUCGAACGGAAAGGCCCUGCUUGUGUGGGGUUCCCGAGUGGCGAACGGGUGAGUAACACGUGAGUAACCUGCCCUUGACUUUGGGAUAACUUCAGGAAACUGGGGCUAAUACCGGAUAGGAGCCCCUGCUGCAUGGUGGGGGGUGGAAAGUUUCGGCGGUUGGGGAUGGACUCGCGGCUUAUCAGCUUGCUGGUGGGGUAGUGGCAUACCAAGUCUUUGACGGGUAGCCGGCCUGGGAGGGUGACCGGCGACAAUGGGACUGAGAUACGGCCCAGUCUCCUACGGGAGGCAACAGUGGGGAAUAUUGCACAGUGGGCGGAAGCGUGAUGCAGAAACGCCGCGUGCGGAAUGACGGCCUUCGGGGUGUGAACCGCUUUCGCCUAUGACGAAGCGUGAGUGACGGUAAUGGGUGAAGAAGCACCGGCUAACUACGUG